AAAACCCCUCCUCAAGUUCACGUAAAAGAACAGAAACCCUUUCCUUCAUCCAUUCACGUCGUCCUUGCUUCUGCCAGCCGCCACCACCGCCGGACCUUCUCCCGCCGCAACCACCACUCGUCGCCGAGCAUCCUAGCGCAGCCGCUGCACAACCUCGACCACCGCCACCUUGCGCGCCACCACCUCCGCGACCACCACUGUCGCGUAACCGGCGACCACCGCAGCCCUCGCCGCCGCUUUUCCCCUCCGGCCAACGUCUCUCUCCCUCACUUUUGGUUGUUUCUUGAACCCUAAGCUAAAUUAUUGUUUUUAAUUACGUUUUAAUAAUUUAAUUUAUGUUUCUUGGAUUAAAUUUAUGAUUUUUAUGAUUAAGCUAUGAAUUUUCAGAUUAUAUAUUUGAAUUAAUUAAUAAUUAAAUUUUCAGAUUAUGUAAUUGCAUUGAAAUAAUGAUUUUUAAUUAUUUAAAAUAUGAAUUUAAGUUUUAAUGGAAUUGAAUCAUGGUGGGAUGAUUGUGGAUUAUUAAAGUUAUUGUUGGGAUGUUCUAAGCAUGUUACUUUGGCCUUGACGAAGUUUUAAACGAAUUUAUAUUGCUUGAAAUUUAAAGUAUAAUGUUUGCGAAGAGUUUUCAACAAAUUUCAAUCACUAAUUCAAUAAUUAUGACGCUAGGGAAAUCAAAUGUUCACGUUUCAAUGUUAGGGAAUGUUCUAAAUAUGUUUAGGAUGUAUUUAGAAUGCUUUGUUAUUGUUGUGGGUGAUUAGAAGUUGAUUGGGAAUAUUUGUUGGUUGUUUUAGGAGGAGAAUUCUAUUUAGGCGACUUUUGAAAGUGUUAAAGUGGCCUAUCAGUUUGUUUACACAAGUCUCUAAGGAUCAAUAAGCGUUGUCCAUCUACAGGUUUGAAGAUGAUGCAUCAUUGGGGAUCGGGAUUAGAGAGCUUGUAGUUAUAUUUGCUUUAUUAAGUGAUUUGGUUUGUUAACUUAAAUUUGAAAUUUGUCGUACUAUUCGUAUUUCCUUAUUUCAGUUAAUUGGUUUUGGACCUAAUAUGUAAUAAGAUUAUUUAUGAACCUAAAAGUUAGUUUUAUGUUUUCCGCUGCAAAAUUCUGAAUAAGCCGUUACGUUUUCACACGGGCGAUAAU